GGUCCUUACAGAUUUGCUAUUGAGGUACAGUGGUUGCAUCCCUUACUUAUCCAACACUACUGUCUACUAGCAUGCUAUUCUAGAAAUUCAUUACCUUAUAAGUUUGUGGCAGCCUCUUUAUGGUGGCUAUUGCCAUGGUUUACUCAAGAAUACUUGUGGCUAAUGCUAUAAUUAUUCAGCUUGAACCUAUCCUGAUUUCGAAGCCUCAUAGUUAAUGAAUUGGCUUAAAGCAUCAGCAUGCAUCAAAUUAAAUUUGGCUUAAAGCUAAAUUUCAUCCCUGUAUAUAUUGGGGAAGUUCAAUUUAGCUCAUUUUCAACUUUUUAUCCAAAUUAGUCUAGAAGUUUUAAUUUAAGCUCAAUUUAGUUUAAAAUUCAAGAAAAUCAAGAACUGAGCUUGUUGAUUUUUGCACUGAAAUCAAGAAAUUUAGCUUUAAAAUCAAGAAAUUGAACUUCUUGAUUUUUGAGACCAAAUUGAAACUUCUAGGUUAAUUUAGACAAAAAGUUGCAAAUGGGCUAAAUAGAACUUCCCCAAUAAGUGCAAGAGCUAAAUUGAACAUUUUGCCCAAUAUUUUCACUGGUUUCUGUUUUCUGGACAAAUAAAAUAGGAUGAUUCAAACCCAACUACUCCUUUUUUUCCCUCGCGUUAUUACUUGUAUUAAUCAGGAUUCAUUAGUGUCCCAAAUAAUACCUUCAACCAUAAAUUCUUGUCUAGUUUUUAUGCUCAGCUACUACUGGAUGGCCAAAAAAAGCCAUGAAUGACUAACCAGAAUAAAAAAUUUUAAAAUCAGUAAAACAAUGAGAAAAUAAUGUAUUUUUAUACAUCUGUUUAGAACCCUUGCUCAUAUAAGAAUACUCCACUUUCUCAUAUAAAAAGAUGUCAAGAUUUACCAUUUUGCUACCAGAGAGUUCCUUCUUCAGGUUCUCAAGAUCGUCAUCAACUGAUGAGCUCUCAAGU
rnacentral:misc_RNA from 1 species